rnacentral:rRNA from 1 species
GAUGAACGCUGGCGGCGUGCCUAAUACAUGCAAGUCGAGCGAACAGACGAGGAGCUUGCUCCUCUGACGUUAGCGGCGGACGGAUGAGUAACACGUGGAUAACCUACCUAUAAGACUGGGAUAACUUCGGGAAACCGGAGCUAAUACCGGAUAAUAUAUUGAACCGCAUGGUUCAAUAGUGAAAGACGGUUUUGCUGUCACUUAUAGAUGGAUCCGCGCCGCAUUAGCUAGUUGGUAAGGUAACGGCUUACCAAGGCAACGAUGCGUAGCCGACCUGAGAGGGUGAUCGGCCACACUGGAACUGAGACACGGUCCAGACUCCAACGGGAGGCAGCAGUAGGGAAUCUUCCGCAAUGGGCGAAAGCUUGACGGAGCAACGCCGCGUGAGUGAUGAAGGUCUUCGGAUCGUAAAACUCUGUUAUUAGGGAAGAACAAAUGUGUAAGUAACUAUGCACGUCUUGACGGUACCUAAUCAGAAAGCCACGGCUAACUACGUG